UGACAAACCUGUUCCUCCUUGGAAUUCUGAGCAAGCUCCAGUAUUUACAGUGCUACUGUCAUCACAAAAGGAUCCAUGGGUGAGGCCCAGUGUGGUUACUGAGAUUCCAGCUGAACUUCAGUCAUGAAGAUCCUUCAUUGCCUCUCUGCUGCCAUCUUACUAUUAUUAUGGACUGUUCAAGAAGACAGCCCUGCAGAAGCUGCGCUUCUUACUUGUUCCUCCAUGGGAGGGUACUGCAUUCAGCCAGUCAAUCAGUCCUGCCCUUCGGGUCUACUCCUGGAUGUGCCCUGCCAUUUCAAAAGAGUCUGCUGCUCAAAGAUAGCUGAUUAGCCUUCAUGCGCACCAUCACCCAUCUCACCUGUUCUUCAAAUUGGCUGCUGG